UGGGCGUAAAGCGAGCGCAGGCGGAAAAAUAAGUCUAAUGUGAAAGCCCUCGGCUUAACCGAGGAACUGCAUCGGAAACUGUUUUUCUUGAGUGCAGAAGAGGAGAGUGGAACUCCAUGUGUAGCGGUGGAAUGCGUAGAUAUAUGGAAGAACACCAGUGGCGAAGGCGGCUCUCUGGUCUGCAACUGACGCUGAGGCUCGAAAGCAUGGGUAGCGAACAGGAUUAGAUACCCUGGUAGUCCAUGCCGUAAACGAUGAGUGCUAAGUGUUGGGAGGUUUCCGCCUCUCAGUGCUGCAGCUAACGCAUUAAGCACUCCGCCUGGGGAGUACGACCGCAAGGUUGAAACUCAAAGGAAUUGACGGGGGCCCGCACAAGCGGUGGAGCAUGUGGUUUAAUUCGAAGCAACGCGAAGAACCUUACCAGGUCUUGACAUCCCAGUGACCGCUCUAGAGAUAGAGUUUUUCUUCGGAACACUGGUGACAGGUGGUGCAUGGUUGUCGUCAGCUCGUGUCGUGAGAUGUUGGGUUAAGUCCCGCAACGAGCGCAACCCUUAUUGUUAGUUGCCAUCAUUCAGUUGGGCACUCUAGCGAGACUGCCGGUAAUAAACCGGAGGAAGGUGGGGAUGACGUCAAAUCAUCAUGCCCCUUAUGACCUGGGCUACACACGUGCUACAAUGGUUGGUACAACGAGUCGCAAGUCGGUGACGGCAAGCAAAUCUCUUAAAGCCAAUCUCAGUUCGGAUUGUAGGCUGCAACUCGCCUACAUGAAGUCGGAAUCGCUAGU
rnacentral:rRNA from 1 species